GCAUUUUCAGGCUACAGGGCCCAACGGUGCUGAAGUUGGAUGAUAUUGGCCUCUCCCAAGUUCUUAGUACAGAGCUCAGCACCCAUGUUGUCACUGGAGUGAAUCAAAGCCUGCAGUCAGACGGCAAUGAAAGCUAAAAUGGAGAAGCCAUAGUGAUUCGGAGUAGCUGCGUCCAGGGAAGCUCUUUGGCGAACAAUGGCGUCCAUUCAGUAGUGGCCACUGGACCCCAAGAGAGAUACAACACGAUAGUUUUAGUGUCAUGAAGAUUCAGGAAGUGAUCGGAGAAAGCCACGAAUUCAACCCAAGUGGAUUUGAAAAAGUUCCCAAGGACUAAUUAUCACCCGACAACUCAGUGCUCUUACUGGAUAAUCAGGUUUCUCAUCAUUCCAUUAAUAAACUGUGGCUGCAUGUAGUUAGUGGUGAAGGGGAAGAUGCCACCACAGUGGAAUUAUGCCAAUUUUAGAGACAAAGAGAAAAUAAAAUUAAUCAGCCAACAUUUUUUUUCCAACCCUGGGGUCACUUUCAUAGCAAGAGGGAGGAAGAAA